UAAGCCCGACGGACCCUCCGAGGGUUCCAGCUGCCAUGUGACCUCGACUCGCUCUGUAAACAAAGGCUCCGUGUGCCUUUAAAUUUUUUUUUUUAUUAUUAUCCGCUAAAAGAGGCUUUAAUCUUUCAAAAACUAUUCCGCAUAAAGGUUUUGCCCAAAAUGUUAAGAUUUUAGAGCUAUUUAAAAACAGCUGAUGAGAUUUAAAGGUCCUCGGGCGAUGACGCAACUGCCUGGAAAACACCCGAUCAGCUGAUCAUCACGGCCAUUUUAUGGCUUCACGUGAGAGUGGAAAGACUCUCAGAGUAUGGCACAAGAUGUCGGCUACGCAAAAUCAUAACGUAUUUUCCGGAACCCGAUCUAAAUGUAUGCGUAAUUUAUGCGUUCUCGAUGCGUAAGCGGGUGUGGUAUACGGGAGUCUGAGCACGUGGAGUUAUCUCGGUUCCGUGAGUUCAGUUUUGAUUUAUUUAUGAUAAAUCGAUCAUAGCAGCAGAAACUGGACGAUUUAGAGGCUUUUGAAGGCUUUUGAACAACAACAGUUUUUCGAUUUGCUACGAGUGGAGCUAGCUCUUCAGAUAGCUGGUGGGAUUCGGACGAAGAGGAAGAGCCGGACACAGCUGACAGACUUGAUCUCGGUGAUGUUCGAGUGGAAGCCGAACCAUCAAGCUCGGGUGACGCUGAACCUCCCCCCACCUCCCCCACCUCUCAUGAUUCUUCACCUUCUUUGAGGCAGGGUCAAAGCUACAAUGGUGCUGACACCAGAAAACCAUUCUAUGACAUCUUACCUUUACAGAGGUACCAAAAGUUUCUUAUUAGAUCUAAUAGCUGUGAGGCUAUAAGU